CCAAAGUACCCCAAUAUAUAUUAUAUACUGUACAUGAAAUAUCAAAGUUCACAAACUAUAUAUUAUAUACUGUACAUAAAAUAUCAAAGUACCCAAGGUAUAUAUUCUAUAGUGUACAAAAAAUAUCAAAGUACCCAAAGCAUGUAUUAUAUACCGUACAUAAAAUAUGAAAGUACAUCAAAUAUAGAUUACAUACUGUAAAUAUAAUAUCAAUGUACCCCAAAUAUAUAUUUUAUACUCUACAUGAAAUAUCAAAGUUCACAAACCAUAUAUUAU
rnacentral:lncRNA from 1 species